GGAAUGAGGGGUUUUGUGAUGGGAGAAAUAGUGGGGUGAUUGCACACUGAUGGAAGCGAUCCCAUGGAGACAGGGACGUCAAUGACUCAGGAAGGGCAGUGUUGCAGAACCAGGAAAGGGGUGCAAGCUUGAGACAGAUGCAAAUUUGCAUGGGCACAGCCUUGCGCCUGCUAGGCCCACACCUCCCCUCAACCCCCUGUCUUGGACUUCCCCAGGGGAGGCUGGCCCUCAGCAAAUGUCUGACAACUGAGCAUCUAGAUGAACUGAGCCCCCUCCUCAGGCCCCUUGUGUAGGGAACCGGUGGGCAGAGGCCUCAUCCCCUUCUCUCAUCUCUGGUGAGACACCACCACACAGCCACAUUCCCUGGAGAUUGGAGUGCCUGCACCCCCUUUUACCCAGUGUCUCCAGAGCUCAUUGCUCAGUAGAUGGGGCCCAGGAGGGAGGAG
rnacentral:lncRNA from 1 species